ACAGGGCUAGGCAUGCAACUUCACGGUAGACAGAAUCUAAUCAUUCAGUAGUCAUAUCGAUAUCAUUAUCAAGCUAUAUUUUUAGUCAAUCAGAAUCCGAUAUCGAAAACUGAGGUUUUACAUUGAUGGUUUUCAAUUAUUGAUCAUGGAUAUUCAAAGUAUAAUAGAGUGUUUUUCAUGCAACCUCUCGUAGAGGGUGUGACAAGAACACAACCUUUUCUCUUAGGGAAGAAUGAAAAUGAAAACUUUAUAUUUCGAAUGGUCUCUUUACCUACUACUCCUUCCGAUGUGUCUGAAGAGACUGCUGAUUACUUUCAACUUCUUUUUCCUAAUAAAGAACCCCUCUAAUUCCACAAG